CCGAGUUUACAACUCCCAAACCCCUGUGAACAUACCUAUACGUUGCCUCGGCGGAUCAGCCCGCGCCCCGUAAAAAGGGACGGCCCGCCCGAGGACCCCUAAACUCUGUUUCUAUAGUGGAACUUCUGAGUAAAACCAUAAAUAAAUCA
rnacentral:misc_RNA from 1 species